CCUACGGGUGGCAGCAGUGGGGAAUAUUGGACAAUGGGGGGAACCCUGAUCCAGCGACGCCGCGUGAGUGAAGAAGUUUUUCGGUAUGUAAAGCUCUAUCAGCAGGGAAGAAAGAUAUGACGGUACCUGACUACCAAGCCCCGUCUAACUACGUGCCAGCAGCCGCGGUAAUACGUAGGGGGCAAGCGUUAUCCGGAUUUACUGGGUGUAAAGGGAGCGUAGACGGCGAUGCAAGUCUGAAGUGAAAGGCGGGGGGCCAACCCCCGGACUGCUUUGGAAACUGUAGGGCUGGAGUGCGGGAGAGGUAAGUGGAAUGCCUAGUGUAGCGGUGAAAUGCGUAGAUAUUGGGAGGAACACCAGUGGCGAAGGCGGCUUACUGGACUGUAACCGACGUUGAGGCUCGAAAGCGUGGGGAGCGAACAGGAUUAGAUACCCGUGUAGUC
rnacentral:rRNA from 1 species